rnacentral:rRNA from 1 species
AACGCGAAGAACCUUACCGGGGCUUGACAUCCUGCGCUAUCCUAGGAGACUAGGUUUCCGGGCAACCGGACGCAGAGACAGGUGCUGCAUGGCUGUCGUCAGCUCGUGCCGUGAGGUGUUGGGUUAAGUCCCGCAACGAGCGCAACCCUUGCCGUGUGUUGGUCGCAAGAUCUCUCACGCGGGACCGCCGGUGACAAGCCGGAGGAAGGUGGGGAUGACGUCAAGUCAGCAUGGCCCUUACGUCCCGGGCUACACACGUGUUACAAUGGCUAGGACAAUGUGAUGCAAGACCGUAAGGUGGAGCGAAUCACCAAACCUAGUCUCAGUUCGGAUUGCAGGCUGCAACUCGCCUGCAUGAAGUCGGAAUCGCUAGUAAAUGCCGAUCAGCACGCGGCAUUGAAUACGUUCCCGGGCCUUGUACACACCGCAUAC